CCUACGGGCGGCUGCAGUGGGGGAUAUUGCACAAUGGGGGGAACCCUGAUCCAGCGACGCCGCGUGAGUGAAGAAGUAUCUCGGGAUGUAAAGCUCUAUCAGCAGGGAAGAAGAAAUGACGGUACCUGAGUAAGAAGCCCCGGCUAACUACGUGCCAGCAGCCGGGGUAAUACGGAGGGGGCAAGCGUUAUCCGGAAUUACUGGGGGGAAAGGGAGCGUAGACGGUGAAGUAAGUCAGGAGUGAAAGGCGGGGGCCCAACCCCCGGACUGCUUUUGAAACUAUUUGGCUGGAGUGCAGGAGAGGUGAGCGGAAUUCCUAGUGUAGCGGUGAAAUGCGUAGAUAUUAGGAGGAACACCAGUGGCGAAGGCGGCUCACUGGACAGUAACUGACGUUGAGGCUCGAAAGCGUGGGGAGCAAACAGGAUUAGAUACCCGAGUAGUC
rnacentral:rRNA from 1 species